UACGUAGGGGGCAAGCGUUGUCCGGAAUCAUUGGGCGUAAAGAGCGUGUAGGCGGCCCGGUAAGUCCGCUGUGAAAGUCCAGGGCUCAACCCUGGGAUGCCGGUGGAUACUGUCGGGCUCGAGUCCGGAAGAGGCGAGUGGAAUUCCUGGUGUAGCGGUGAAAUGCGCAGAUAUCAGGAGGAACACCAGUGGCGAAGGCGGGACUCUGGGCCGAUACUGACGCUGAGGAGCGAAAGCGUGGGGAGCAAACAGG
rnacentral:rRNA from 1 species